rnacentral:tRNA from 1 species
GUGGGCGUAGCUCAAUUUGGCGAGAGCACCCGAUUUGUAAUCGGGAGGUUGCGGGUCCGAUCCCCGUCGUCCACCCCA